GCCGGGGUGGCGGAGCGGUUUCACGCGGCGGGCUGCAGACCCGCAGAUCCCGGGUUCGAAUCCCGGCCCCGGCU
rnacentral:tRNA from 1 species